rnacentral:rRNA from 1 species
GACGAACGCUGGCGGCGUGCUUAACACAUGCAAGUCGAACGGAAAGGCCCUGCUUUUGUGGGGUGCUCGAGUGGCGAACGGGUGAGUAACACGUGAGUAACCUGCCCUUGACUUUGGGAUAACUUCAGGAAACUGGGGCUAAUACCGGAUAGGAGCUCCUGCUGCAUGGUGGGGGUUGGAAAGUUUCGGCGGUUGGGGAUGGACUCGCGGCUUAUCAGCUUGUUGGUGGGGUAGUGGCUUACCAAGGCUUUGACGGGUAGCCGGCCUGAGAGGGUGACCGGCCACCUUGGGACUGAGAUACGGACCAGACUCGUACGGGAGGCAGCAGUGGGGAAUAUGGCACAAUGGGCGGAAGCCUGAGGCAGCAACGCCGCGGGCGGGAUGACGGCCUUCGGGUUGUAAACCGCUUUCGCCUGUGACGAAGCGUGAGUGACGGUAAUGGGUAAAGAAGCACCGGCUAACUACGUG